rnacentral:rRNA from 1 species
GUCUACGGCCAUAACACCCUGAACGUUCCUGAUCUCAGAAGCUAAGCAGGGUCAGGUCUGGUUAGUACUUGGAUGGGAGACCACCUAGGAAGACCAGGUGCUGUAGGCG